AUACGUAGGGGGCGAGCGUUGUCCGGAAUGAUUGGGCGUAAAGGGCGCGUAGGCGGCCUGUUAAGUCUGGAGUGAAAGUCCUGUUUUCAAGAUGGGAAUUGCUUUGGAUACUGAUGGGCUUGAGUGCAGGAGAGGUUAUCGGAAUUCCCGGUGUAGCGGUGAAAUGCGUAGAGAUCGGGAGGAACACCAGUGGCGAAGGCGGGUAACUGGACUGCAACUGACGCUGAGGCGCGAAAGUGUGGGGAGCAAACAGGAUUAGAUACCCUGGUAGUCCACACUGUAAACGAUGGAUGCUAGGUGUGGGGGGUAUCGACCCCCUCCGUGCCGGAGUUAACGCAAUAAGCAUCCCGCCUGGGGAGUACGGCCGCAAGGUUGAAACUCAAAGGAAUUGACGGGG
rnacentral:rRNA from 1 species